UACAGAGGGUGCAAGCGUUAAUCGGAAUUACUGGGCGUAAAGCGUGCGUAGACGGUUAUUUAAGUCGGGUGUGAAAGCCCCGAGCUCAACUUGGGAAUUGCAAUGGAUACUGGCAGGCUGGAGUAUGGUAGAGGAAGGUGGAAUUCCCGGUGUAGCAGUGAAAUGCGUAGAGAUCGGGAGGAACACCAGUGGCGAAGGCGGCCUUCUGGACCAAUACUGACGCUCAUGCACGAAAGCGUGGGGAGCAAACAGG
rnacentral:rRNA from 1 species